GACGAACGCUGGCGGCGUGCUUAACACAUGCAAGUCGAACGAGGUCCAUGAAGUAGCAAUACUUCGGAAGACCUAGUGGCGAACGGGUGCGUAACACGUGAGGAACUUGUCCCGGUCUCUGGGAUAACAGUUGGAAACGACUGCUAAUACCGGAUGACGUCGGAGCAUCGCAUGGUGCGCUGACGAAAGGGUUACUGGAUCGGGAGAGCCUCGCGGCCUAUCAGCUUGUUGGUGGGGUAACGGCCUACCAAGGCAUCGACGGGUAGCUGGUCUGAGAGGAUGAUCAGCCACACUGGGACUGAGACACGGCCCAGACUCCUACGGGAGGCAGCAGUGGGGAAUCUUGCGCAAUGGGCGAAAGCCUGACGCAGCAACGCCGCGUGCGGGAAGAAGGCUCUCGGGUUGUAAACCGCUUUCAGCAGGAACGAAAAUGACGGUACUUGCAGAAGAAGGUGCGGCCAACUACGUGCCAGCAG
rnacentral:rRNA from 1 species